rnacentral:rRNA from 1 species
UGGCGGACGGGUGAGUAACGCGUGGGUGACCUGCCCCAUACCGGGGGAUAACAGCUGGAAACGGCUGCUAAUACCGCAUAAGCGCACAGAGCCGCAUGGCUCGGUGUGAAAAACUCCGGUGGUAUGGGAUGGGCCCGCGUCUGAUUAGGCAGUUGGCGGGGUAACGGCCCACCAAACCGACGAUCAGUAGCCGGCCUGAGAGGGCGACCGGCCACAUUGGGACUGAGACACGGCCCAA